UGAAUAUGCUCAGGAAAAGUUGUAUAUUUUUCACUUGGCUCUUGUCUCUCUAGAUGAACUAUGCAAGAUACCAAGCCUAAUAGCUGAUAGUGCUUUUCCAUGAAACACUAAAAUCUGGAUUCUGAGAUUGCAGAACUCAGGCAAUACAAAAGGAUGAAAUCUGGCCAUUCUCAACACAAAAUGCCCUUAUUGGAAGAAAAAUUCUUUACCAUCUAUGGUGAGUCUCCAGUCCCUGAUGUCAUACAAGCCACAGUGGCUCAAGGAGGCAGCAGAAGAAACAAUUCCCCAGGAGGACAGAAAACUGAACUUUUACAUCCUGUCAGUUUUCUUCCAGUGUCUCCUAUUCCAGGUGGCUGUGAGUCUAAUUUAGCAGGGGCCAGUGAGAGGGUGAGAUGAAAAGUUCUGUGGCAUCACUUUUUGUUUUUUUUUUCCUUCACUCCUUCUGCUCUUCAGCUGUAUCCUGUCUUCAUCAGAACUAAUUUAGUUAAUUCUCCAUUCUAGAAUGAGCCAGUUGUUGUUGGUGCACAGUUGCAUAGCAACAUCUACCAUUUGCAGGCAGAGAUAACAGGCAGGCAGGGAUGCCAGUGUGUGCCUGGCCCAGGAAGGCUCUUGUAGAGAAAUCUCAGCUGGACGUGUUACAGUGGCCUGCCUAAGUAUGCAGAGUGGCAGACUUAACCAAGCCCAGAACACCUGACAAGACAUGCUGCCCAGCCCGCUCAUCUUCCCCCCUCUCCUGCUUGUGCUGUGAGUUGGAACAUCUGGUCUGGUGACUUAAAUGGAA